GAGAGCAGAAACCCUACACCACCACCUUUGCUUUCAGAGUUUCUUGGGUUGUGGGAAAAUUGAAGACCACUAAAGGAUAGAGAGGCUGGGGUAGCGGUGUCAGAGGGAGAGAGCCAUGUUUCAGUUAAGGCUAGUAGGUCUAGGGAAUGAGAGAGGAAAAUCUCAUGCACAGCAGUGGAUUUAGUAACACUGCAAACAGAGUGUGCAUUCCAGAGGAUUAAAGGAAGAGUGACAUAAAAUGGGCAUGAGAUUAUUGUGAUUCCUGGAGUUAGCACAUGGUGGGUUUGCAGAGGUGGGACUGGGAUUUGGAGAGACAUCACCAGCUGCUAGGAGCAGAAGGAUAGAAAGUAAGAGAAGGUGGGAGUAGGAUUUAGAGGUUUUGUGAGAGUGUUUGUAUUUAGAUGGUUUAGAAAGGGUUGGUGGAGAUAGGCU